UACAGAGGCCCCAAGCGUUACUGAGAAUCACUGGGUUUAAAGGGUGCGUAGGUGGCGCGUUAAGUCCGUUGUGAAAUCCCUGGGCUCAACCCAGGAAUUGCUUCGGAUACUGGCGUGCUUGAGGCUAGUAGGGGUCACUGGAACUGACGGUGGAGCGGUGAAAUGCGCAGAUAUCAGGAGGAACACCGGUGGCGAAGGCGGGUCUCUGGGCCGAUACUGACGCUGAGGAGCGAAAGCGUGGGGAGCAAACAGG
rnacentral:rRNA from 1 species